GAGACACUGGCGUGGCAUGGCGAGACUCUGGCGUGGCAUGGCGAGACUCUGCCGUGGCCUGACGAGACUCUGGCGUGGCCUGGCGAGACUCUGGCGUGGCAUGACGAGACUCUGCCGUGGCAUGGCGAGACUCUGGCGUGGCAUGGCGAGACUCUGCCGUGGCAUGACGAGACUCUGCCGUGGCAUGACGAGACUCUGGCGUGGCAUGGCGAGACUCUGCCAUGGCCUGACGAGACUCAGGCGUGGCAUUUCAAAACCAAAACACCCGUGACAACGGUGUAUCAAAACAAGACUGAAGUAUUAGCUACUACUAUUUUUCUUCACAGUACGCCACAAUCAAGCAUAGGUAAGUAAACUACUUUCUACAGUAUUUUAUGUUUCUGUAUUUAUUAUAAGAAACUGAAUGUUUUGAAGCUCUUAAAGCUCAAGAACAGUUGGUGAAUUCUUGUUGUUGUUUUAUCGGUAAAUAACAGUCAUCAUAGUUUGGGCAGAAAACAAAAGGAAGUUCAGUGUUUUACAAAAUAGCAGCAAAACUGGAAUGAAGACUUGCCAUAUAAAAAAACCCAGGCUACAAAAAUUAUGUGAUGUUUAUUUUAUUCAGAAGUUUGCAUUUUAUAGAAAUGUACUUUAUAGCACACAUUCUACAUUGUACAAGCUCCAUAAAGUUUAUACAGUUUAUACAUACUCAAGAGGUAUAUCGAAUUACAAAAGCUUUUUAUUCCAAUAAAACUAUAAAAAAAAAAAAACUAUAAAAUUUUCCGAAUGAGCAAGAUGCAGCAAGAUGUUUUAUCUUUUGAAUCAGAAGCAAGAGUCUUGUUUCAGUCCCACAGUGGCAGGCUCUUCCACAGAAUCUGGGCAGCAGUACACUGGAAGACAGAUAAAAACAAACAACCUGCCAGUAUCUCCAGUCCAAUUUAAGCAAUAAAGCAAACUAGUUCCUACUCUCACUCGUGCACACAAUAACCAACCACAGCACAACAACAUCAAAACCCAGUAUCACAUCACUAAACAAAAAAAUAAAUAUAAAUAAAAAGGAAAAAGUGACUAUUGACUAGCAUACUGGCAAUUAGUUAUCUCGGUCUCUACUAGGGGUGCAACGAUUCUCUGUAAAAAAUCGAACCGUACUGUUCUGAUACCUGGAAUACCUGGAGGAAACUCAUGAUGACACGGGAGAACAUGCAAACUACACUAUAUGACCCUAGAAAAAACAGUCACUUUUAGGAAGGAAAAGGGCAGAUGCCCCCUUUGAUGUCUAUGCAUUUCACGUGCCUGCAUAGUCAUAUCAUGAUUCUCAACGUCACAUUCAUGCUUUCUUCAAAUGUUUUUUGUUACAGAUUUUGCAGAAACAACGCCCACAGAAGAAAAUGGGAGGAAAAAGUUCAAAAGAGAGAAAGCGAGAAAUGGAUAGAAGAGAGAUGGAACUGAAGAAAAUGAGGGAGGAACUGGACAGAAGGGAGGAGCAACUGAUGAGGAGAAAUUGCUGUUGCUGCAUCAUUAAAACGGACCAAGCUAACAUCACCUGUAACAACUUCGUUUGCUUUCAGGUUCACUGGUGAUUUCAUAUAAUUCUGUUGCUGCUGACCACUUGGACUGGUGCUGGAGUUUGAAUUUCCCUGGGUUACCGUUCGCCUCUCUGGACUACUUUGUUGCCCUGUUGGUUCUGUUUGCCCCUCGCGUGAUCAUCCUGUCUGUCUGACAUUGAUUCUUGUCUCACGAUUUGGAUUUGAUUGCCCUGGACUCUGACCCCUGCCUGCCUGACUAUUCUUCUCUCUACUGUCCAGAACUGAUUUGGAGCCAUGUGGCUUGAACUGUCUCUAUUAUUGUGCUGCAGUAGAUUGGAUUUAAUACUUCUGCUUUUGAGUCCUUCCUUCCUGAGAUUGUAACAUCAUCAUUUCACAUCAAGUUACAGCAAAGACUAUAGAUACAGUGGGUACGGAAAGUAUUCAGACCCCCUUACAUUUUUCACUUUUGUUAUAUUGCAGCCAUUUGCUAAAGUCAUUUAAGUUUAUUUUUUUCCUCAUUAAUGUACACACAGCACCCCAUAUUGACAGAAAAACACAGAAUUGUUGACAUUUUUGCAGAUUUAUUAAAAAAGAAAAACUGAAAUAUCACAUGGUCCUAAGUAUUCAGACCCUUUGCUGUGACACUCAUAUAUUUAACUCAGGUGCUGUUCAUUUCUUCUGAUCAUCCUUGAGAUGGUUCUACACUGGUGUUGUCACGGUACCAAAAUUCCAGUAGUCGGUACCUGUAGCGGAACACUGGAUGCACCACAGGAUCAACUCAGAAUGAGAACAAACACCAGUAAUGCCUUUUCUUGGGUGUUACAACAAUCAAAUCAUCUGUUCUGGUUUCACAAUCUCUCUUCAGAAUGUUUCACACAGACUCAAAUUACAGGUUGUUUUCUUUACAGUAUCUUAAAUUGUUCCACUCAAUAAAAUGCAUU